UAUCAAACCAAUGCAUCAACGUUUUUGCUCAACCGUAAAUAUAAAUCAUUAACAAACAGUCCUUAGACUAAAACAUUAACGUAUAGUUCUAGAAUUGUAAAUGUGAGUUGUUUGUUAUUUAAAAAUACACUAUAACCUCUGUUUUAUUCACUUACACGUUAUAUAAUAUAUGAUCAAGUGAUGAUCCACCUCUUACACAUCCCCUUAACAUUUCACUUGUAAAGAAACAUUAAACCGGCCGGUUUUAGUUUUCAAUUUCUUCUUACACAUUAUAUACAUGAUCACGUAUUCAUCACACUGAUCCGGAUUUCAAACCCCUUAUCUUUAAAACCAAUGUAACAAGAAUUUUCAAAUCCAUAAAUCGGUUGCAACACGAAUAUCAAAACAAGGUCCGGACGAGGUAGUCCAAGUGGCAGGACGGGCCUGUGGUGGCAACCACCAUCCGGGUUCGAUUCCCCCCAUGCGGAAACUACCCUGCAUCUUCUGGACACCAAAGCGGUACUGGGUUUGAUCCAGCCCAGGUAAAGCCCUCUCGGGUGAAGUGGACCGCUG
rnacentral:lncRNA from 1 species